CCGAGUUUACAACUCCCAAACCCAAUGUGAACGUUACCAAACUGUUGCCUCGGCGGGAUUCUCUGCCCCGGGCUGCGUCGCAGCCCCGGACCAAGGCGCCCGCCGGAGGACCAACCUUACAAACUCUUUUGUAUGUACCCUCUGCGGACUCUUUUAUACAUUCUGAGCUUCUCGGCGCUCCUAGCGAGCGUUUCGAAAAUGAAUCA
rnacentral:misc_RNA from 1 species